AGAGCUUGCUCUUCUUGGAUGAGUUGCGAACGGGUGAGUAACGCGUAGGUAACCUGCCUUGUAGCGGGGGAUAACUAUUGGAAACGAUAGCUAAUACCGCAUAACAAUGGAUGACUCAUGUCAUUUAUUUGAAAGGGGCAAUUGCUCCACUACAAGAUGGACCUGCGUUGUAUUAGCUAGUAGGUGAGGUAACGGCUCACCUAGGCGACGAUACAUAACCGACCUGAGAGGGUGAUCGGCCACACUGGGACUGAGACACGGCCCAGACUCCUACGGGAGGCAGCAGUAGGGAAUCUUCGGCAAUGGGGGCAACCCUGACCGAGCAACGCCGCGUGAGUGAAGAAGGUUUUCGGAUCGUAAAACUCUGUUGUAAGUCAAGAACGAGUGUGAGAGUGGAAAGUUCACACUGUGACGGUAGCUUACCAGAAAGGGACGGCUAACUACGUGCCAGCAGCCGCGGUAAUACGUAGGUCCCGAGCGUUGUCCGGAUUUAUUGGGCGUAAAGCGAGCGCAGGCGGUUUGAUAAGUCUGAAGUUAAAGGCUGUGGCUCAACCAUAGUUCGCUUUGGAAACUGUCAAACUUGAGUGCAGAAGGGGAGAGUGGAAUUCCAUGUGUAGCGGUGAAAUGCGUAGAUAUAUGGAGGAACACCGGUGGCGAAAGCGGCUCUCUGGUCUGUAACUGACGC
rnacentral:rRNA from 1 species